rnacentral:rRNA from 1 species
AUUGAACGCUGGCGGCAUGCCUUACACAUGCAAGUCGAACGGUAACAGGUCUUUGGAUGCUGACGAGUGGCGAACGGGUGAGUAAUACAUCGGAACGUGCCUAGUAGUGGGGGAUAACUACUCGAAAGAAUGGCUAAUACCGCAUGAGAUCUACGGAUGAAAGCAGGGGAUCGGAAGACCUCGUGCUACUAGAGCGGCCGAUGGCAGAUUAGGUCGUUGGUGGGAUAAAAGCUUACCAAGCCGACGAUCUGUGGCUGGUCUGAGAGGACGACCAGCCACACUGGGACUGAGACACGGCCCAGACUCCUACGGGAGGCAGCAGUGGGGAAUUUUGGACAAUGGGCGCAAGCCUGAUCCAGCAAUGCCGCGUGCAGGAUGAAGGCCUUCGGGUUGUAAACUGCUUUUGUACGGAACGAAAAGCCCUGGGUUAAUACCCUGGGGUCAUGACGGUACCGUAAGAAUAAGCACCGGCUAACUACGUGCCAGCCGCCGCAGUAAGAC